UAUAAUUUAAAUCGAUCACCAAAAUAAUAAGUGUAGGCUAUACUUUAAAAGACUAGAUUUCUGUUCGUUCGAGUUAAAGUCUGGGUUGUGUGUGAGGGUUAAGGAUUUGACAUCACGUGAAAAUUAUAAACUGGCCCGCACAAAGCCAGUUGAUUGACAGCUUGCCCGUUAGAGGAAAAGUAAAAGCAAUAGGAGAAAUGCAAAAUCAAUAGGAGAAAAACAAACGCAAUAAAGAAGCGUUUUUAGCUUCUCAUUAUUUUAUUUGCAUUUGUAUUUAUUUUAUUAUUCUUUUACAGAUUUAUUCUUUUUAUGUCACUACAUAAUGAACACACCCACAGCUUCCUAUUGCUAUACGACAAAGAAUCCGCGAAUAAAAAGCGAACUUCAGUCAGCAAAAGAAGCAGCUGCGUCUCGGCAGCAAUAUUCUAUGUCACCUUUUCCCCAACAUUUUACUUUCGCUUUUAUUGAUGUGGAACGACAUGAAACACACCUAAUUUGCAGCCUAAGGAAAUAUUUAACGAUCAGGAAAUAAAGUCAAAUAAAUCAAUCAUGGACAAUCAGGAACACGGGCCGAACUGGCUGAACAAAAUCUGUUGUAUUUUAGUAUACAUAGUUCAUGGUGAGCUUUUGUUGCUUGACUGUCUGCUCCCUUGGUUAUCCUUCCUCUUACGUAAACUGUAUUACAUUCUGAACUCCUCCUCAGUAAAAGUCCACAUGCUGGUUACUGGAGAAACACAUCAGGCCCAUGAAGCCUUCAUGC